CCUCAACUGAAAAGCUAGUGUUGAAUCCCUAGGAUAAGUAACAUGUUCCUUUUUGUUUUUAAUAAGCAGAUUUUGCUCUUCCUAAGCUGAACCCGGUCACUUUUUUUUAGGCAAAGGAAAGAGCCCUUGGAGGUGAAGAAAGGGAGACAACAGUCAUUCACCAAGAUAGUUGGGAAUGAAUAAAGCAGAUAGCACAGGGGUGAUGUCUAAAGGUGAAGGAGGGCUAGGAUAUAAAAUGUUAUGGAAGUUCUGAUUCAGUGGAAAUUAAAUUAAGAAGCCUAGAGUUAUGUCUGUUGCUGUCCACAGAGGCACAUUUCCUGCUCCACUCAUAUCACGCUCCUAAGUUAUCUAAGGGGAAUUUUCCUUUUGCUCCAGUGAUCAUCUAUGGCAAUCAGAAUGAGAGCCAAAGGCUUCCCCAUGGCUCAUGUGGGCCUGCAUCUUCUGACUCUUUUUCUAUUGCUUUUGGGGGCGUGAAAAACUCCGUGUAUAUACAAAGUUCUUUUAUGAACUUUCUGUUAGGUUUCUCCUCCCUUAUCUUUGCAGGCAUUUGUCUCCUAGAGGCACUUACAUUCUAUUACAACACUAGAACAUGAGACAGACUGUCCCCCAUUCAAGUCUAUGUAAAGCACGCUUCCCUAUGGAAGAGACCCUGUAUUAGGUCCAGAAAUGAACCUGGGAAGCCUGGGAAUCCUGGCCUCACAAUAGGAUACCCUGGGCCACUUUGUUAAGAUAUCAUUGAUCCUGGGCCCUGCCAAAGACUAACUGACAGAGUAUGUAGGGGAGGGACACAGGGUAUGGUAGUUCUAAAAAAUACACAAAUGUUCCCAAUGGGGAGUCAAGGCUGAAAAUGACUUUGGUGAACCUUGCUCACCAGAAUUUCAUGUCUGUACAAAUCACUUAUGAAUCCCAUUAAAAACUGAUAGGGGGUCUCACACUCAGGUGUUAAGACUCUUCAAGUCUGGAAUGAAGGUCUUUAAUUUACACUUGGAGCAGCCACUGAAGUUGCUUCCCCCAGACCUCAUUUUCUGCAGCAUUAAUUUAGGGAAAUCAAGAACAGUGUCUGAGUGCUUUACACACAACCACCCUAUCUGAACACAAAUACUGCUUGUUCCCAGUGAAGAUCACUAACAACUUCUGAAAAGAUGACAUUCUUGGCUCUUCACUUUUGAAUUGAGUGGGGACUAGAGAAAGCAGGCCUGAGCAAGACCAUUAUGGGGAAACAUUUGAUCAUUCAUGAAAGGAAUGUUUCUUGAGGCUCUACUGCAUGCUCACAGUCAGAGCAUCAGAAAUUGUGAAUGCCAGAUCCAUUCACAACAGUGGCAGCGUUUGCAGGAACUCUGGUCUCUGAGCUACUCUGAGAACAAUGACUGAGAAAUGGGAGCAGAGCCAUGGUUGGCGUUUCUGGGUUCUUUUGCCUGUGGGUGCGGUAGGAACAGAUGCAGGAGCUGUGCGGACGCCACUGAAGUCAUUCUCAAGAUACUAAUGUGGUUCUCAGCAUGACAUCGAUGAGAAAACAACGCAGAGCGGAAAGAAGAGGAGAAAACGGCAGCUUCUCAGAACCCUCUGUAAUGUUUUCAAUAGUGGCUGCACUGAAUUACAUUCUUAGCAACAGCACAGAAUAAGAUCCUCGAGGCCCAUCCACACUUCUGCAAAUGGGAGAAUGCUCCUCUUUCUGUGGCUGUGUAAUAUUCCACUGGACGUACAUGCCGUAUCUUCUUUGUCCAUUUGUCAGUUCAUGGGCAUUUGGAUUGCUUUUAUAUCUUGGCCAUUUUCAAUAGUGCUGCUAUGAAUAUUGAGGUUUAUGCAACUUUUUGAAUUAGUGUUUUUAUUUUUUCCUAGAUGUGUAUCCAGGAGAAUUAUUGAUGGAUCAUAUGGUAGUCCUAUUUUUAGUUUUUUGAGGCACUUUCAUCCUAUUUCCCAUAGUGCCUGCAAUAAUUUUCAAUCCUACCAAUAGUGUACAAGGGUUUGCUUUUCUCCGCAUGCUCUCUAAAAUUUGUUAUUUGUAGACAUUUUGAUGAUGAUUAUUUUGACAAGUGUGAGGUUGACAUCUCAUUGUUUUGAAUUGAACUUCUCUAAUAACUAGUGAUGUUGAGCAACUUUUCAUGAGCGUUUUAGCCAUCUGUAUGUCUAUAUUAGAAAAAUGUCUAUUCAUGUCUUCUGACCAUUA